CUCUGUGGUUGAGAGUGAUCUGAUCAGACGUCUUCAGACAGUGAAACGUAAGGAGGUGAGCUGUGACUACAGAGUGAGCUCAGGACCAAACUCUCUCUCUCCACGCAGUGAUGGGUACAGCUUUACAGUGGGUAUGACUCCAGGUCCUAGAUCUACUUUGCCUCCCAGCACAACAGUGAGUCCUACAGAAGGUCCAGUGCAGGUAUCUGCAAAUGAAGGUGCUGAUUCAGAGAAUGCAGGGGUCUACAACCUGAUCACUUCUGUACCAUCCACAUCUGUACCAUUAGGUCCUUUUGAAGAAAAUGGAAAGUCAUCUGAAAAUGACAAUAUAAGUUCAGAAUCACCCACUGUGUUUGGUGAUUGUGAACGACUCUCAGUUUCAGAUUGAUGUUACAUCCUUUUAAAUUACAUUACAUUUACAGUACUGUAGAAUUAAAGGACUGAAGUUAAA